rnacentral:rRNA from 1 species
UACAUGUGGGGCAAGCGUUGUUCGGAAUUACUGGGCAUAAAGGGUGCGUAGGCGGUUUUGUAAGUCGGGCGUGAAAUCCGAUGGCCCAACCAUCGAACUGCGUUUGAUACUGCGAGACUUGAGUGCGUGAGGGGAGACUGGAACGAGUGGUGUAGCGGUGAAAUGCGUAGAUAUCACUCGGAACGCCAACGGCGAAGGCAGGUCUCUGGUACGCAACUGACGCUGAGGCACGAAAGCGUGGGGAGCAAACAGGAUUAGAUACCCUGGUAGUCCACGCCGUAAACGAUGAGCACUAGAUUGCUGGCGAGCUAUUCGUUGGCAGUCGCAGACAAUUUGUUAAGUGCUCCGCCUGGGGAGUAUGGUCGCAAGGCUG